rnacentral:rRNA from 1 species
AGACGCGUGAGGGAGGAAGGCCUACUGGUUGUAAACCUCUUUUGAUAGGGAAGAAGAAAGUGACGGACCGAUCGAAUCAGCAUCGGCUAACUCCGUGCCAGCAGCCGCGGUAAUACGGAGGAUGCAAGCGUUAUCCGGAAUUAUUGGGCGUAAAGCGUCCGUAGGUGGUUAUUCAAGUCAGCUGUCAAAGGAUGGAGCUUAACUCCAUAAAGGCAGUUGAAACUGUGUAGCUAGAGUGCGAUAGGGGCAAGGGGAAUUCCCAGUGUAGCGGUGAAAUGCGUAGAUAUUGGGAAGAACAUCGGUGGCGAAAGCGCCUUGCUGGGUCUGCACUGACACUGAGGGACGAAAGCUAGGGGAUCGAAAGGGAUUAAAUACCCC